UACGGAGGGUGCGAGCGUUGUUCGGAAUCACUGGGCGUAAAGCGCGUGUAGGCGGCCCAUUAAGUCUGAUGUGAAAGCCCGGGGCUCACCCCCGGAAGUGCAUUGGAAACUGAUGGACUCGAGUCCCGGAGAGGAGAGUGGAAUUCCUGGUGUAGCGGUGAAAUGCGUAGAUAUCGGGAGGAACACCUGCGGUGUAGACGGCUUACUGGACCAUAACUGACGCUGAGGCACGAAAGCGUGGGUAGCAAACAGG
rnacentral:rRNA from 1 species